AUUUGGAGCAAGGCAAUAAAAAGUAUUAGUGUCUUUGGUCAAAAAGAGGAUCAGUAGGGAGGUAGGUAACAGAUACAUAUUUUUGCAAGUCUAGCUUGCAUCUAGUGCAUAUUUCAAAACAAACAUUGUAAAAACAUGAACACAGCUGGAAGUAUCUCAACUCAAAUAUUGUAAAUUCAGAAAUUAUUGCAGUGUUUUAUUAUUGCAAAAAAAUUAGACAGAGUUAUAUUUGCGAUCAUCUAAAAUCGUA
rnacentral:lncRNA from 1 species